CCCCGAAGAGGUCCCCGCCCCCUAGGUGGUCCCACAGCUCUUCUGUCCCUCCCGUCCACGCCAGCACCGGGGGAAGCUCUGCCUCGAUAAACCGACUUUAAUGUGCAGGUUACACGGCCUGUCCAGCGGGUCCGCGAAGUGCCCUGAAAGGACAGCUCCGCCAGCGCGAAGUGGACAGGGCGCCCAACUCUCGUGCGCCUGGGAGCCCUUGCACACGACUCCCCAGGAGGGCAACCUCCAGCCAGAGGGCCCGGAGGUCGGAGUCCACCUCUUGUGUGGCGGCUGCAGGCGGUUUCCUUGGGCAGUCAGUGGCCACCGCGGCCGCCCCAGGCUCCAGGUGGCCAAGGGGCUGCCAUAUUUGGGCCCCUGCAAAUUAACGUCCAGGCGUUCCACCUCUCCUGGGGUUCUCUGUAUUUCUGGGGGUGCUGCGCUCCUUGGGGAGGUUAGUAACUCGGUAGAGGGUGCUGCUUCUAGUGCUCUACUGGCUGAGGGCCCACGGGAGGCCGCAGCAUACCCACAGGGGAAGCGGGCAGGCUGGGGCCUGUAGCAGGGCCUGCUGCUGGCAUCAGCGGCUGGCCUGCAGAGGGAGAGGCCCAGGGCUCCUGCUGCCCCCGAGUGGCCAGGGGCCCAAGGAGCAGGGUGUCAGGCCAGCCCUGACCACCCAAAGGCCAAGACACCAGAGAGCUCCAGCCUGGUGCCUGGAGGCAAGGACAGUGGGAGGGCCGACAGCAACACAGGCAGCUGGGCAGCCGCCCAGCAUGAGGAGCAGAGGGGCCUCCUGGAGCGCUGACCCCUUCCACACCUGGAGGCCAGCAUGCUCCUCUGUCCCCCCUGUCCCUUCCCCCACUUCCCAAGCCCCCCACGGAAAGGCAGUGUGAAUUGAUUCCCCACUCCCCUCCCCUCCCCAGGGGACAGGGAACUAGGGGCUCUGGGCCACCCCCGACCAAACAGGAGAGGGGAGGGCUCCACCACAUGCUCCUCUUGUGGGCGCAGACUCCCUGGCAUGGUCAGUCUGUCCAGCUGCACGAGGCGGGAGUGCCUGCCUGACAGGCCAUGUGCAGUCCAAUCCUAGGGGGACAGGCAGCAGGCACACAGCCUUCAGGAGUUAGACUAAGGACGGGCACUCGGGGCACCAACAGUGACCUCUGUCACCAGACAGAUGGAAUGUGGGGGGCCUUGGUGAACCCCCGUGGCUGUUCCAGCCUGGUGCCUUCCAGUGGGCACUCGGCUGCUAUGUACACUGGAGCAGUGGCCAGUGACUGCAGGCCAUGAGUGUGGCUGAGUCCUCUGGAGAAAGGAACAUCGCCAAGAUCAUGCAGGACUUCCUGCUUUCGGCCAGUCCCGGCUGCCCUUCCCUCUUAAGGAGACUGGUCACUUGACACCUGGGAACCCCCCCACCUGACAGCCAUCUGAGGACAAGUUGCUCCAUGCCCUCCCUCUAGCCUUCACCAGGUGCUGCCCGUGCAGGGGCCCACAGGCCAAUGAAGACACACAGACAGGAGAGAGCAGGGCGAGGUGGCGCGGAGGCUGCAGGGUGGCAGCACUGUGUUCACAGAACAACAGCAGCUGUGCAUCUGGGACCCCGAACAAGCCCCCGAAAAGCUAGAGUCUCCCAGGACUCCCUGAGCCGCAGAAGAGCAGGCUCAGUCAGUGAGCGAUCAGGACAGUAGAGUCACAGACGAGGUGUCUAAUGAAGGAAAGAGAUGAACACUAUUGCUCAUAAUAACCUGCAUCUCUGUGGGCAGCAGAACCACUGCGGUUUGCUCUGCCCGGACACACGAGCAGGCAGCUAACACUGUCGGCAGAGACGCAGCAGACCCACGUGGACGUCCUCCACUCUGAGAACCCAGUGCCCUGUGUCAGCAUGAAGGAGUUCCAGGAGACGGGCUUUCGCGCCUGACUCCACAGGAACGGAAUGGUGUCCAACAGUGGGGCUUUGUAAGCGGCUCUUUUGCCCCUUUCCUGCUUGUCUAUUUCUGUUCCCCUAAAACCUUAAUUACAGAAACGAGACCACUCCUGACUUCUGCUCUAGUGAGCGCACACAAUGCCUCGCCUAACCUGUCGAUUCCUUGCCUACAUCAGAAGGAGAAAGAGCGAAGACUUCAGUAGGUAAAGGAUGACUGACUCUACCACUAGAUUCUCUAGUGGACCACAUGGGCAAGGCAGCAUCUAAAGUAAGAUGAGCAGUGAGCGGGUCUGCACACAGUGGGAAAGUGACGAAGAAUCGGACCUCCCUUCAUGACUGACCGAGAUCAUUUCCUCUUUUGCCUUUUCUCAUUGUCCUGCCUGAGCAGAAUCUCUGGAGUUGGUCUCCAGACCUGAGUCCACCUUCUCGCCAGGUUGCUGGCUUUUCUUAAUAAAGCACCUCUCCUUUCUACUGA